AAUAGAUACCCGGGUAGUCCACGCCGUAAACGAUGAGUGCUAGGUGUUAGGGGGUUUCCGCCCCUUAGUGCUGCAGCUAACGCAUUAAGCACUCCGCCUGGGGAGUACGGUCGCAAGACUGAAACUCAAAGGAAUUGACGGGGGCCCGCACAAGCGGUGGAGCAUGUGGUUUAAUUCGAAGCAACGCGAAGAACCUUACCAGGUCUUGACAUCCCGCUGACCGCCAUGGAGACAUGGCUUUCCCUUCGGGGACAGCGGUGACAGGUGGUGCAUGGUUGUCGUCAGCUCGUGUCGUGAGAUGUCGGGUUAAGUCCCGCAACGAGCGCAACCCUUGUCCUUAGUUGCCAUCAUUCAGUUGGGCACUCUAAGGAGACUGCCGUACAAAUACGGAGGAAGGUGGGGAUGACGUCAAAUCAUCAUGCCCCUUAUGACCUGGGCUACACACGUGCUACAAUGGGUGGUACAAAGGGCAGCGAACCCGCGAGGGGGANCGAAUCCCAAAAAGCCACUCUCAGUUCGGAUUGCAGGCUGC
rnacentral:rRNA from 1 species